rnacentral:rRNA from 1 species
GAUCCUGGCUCAGGAUGAACGCUAGCGACAGGCUUAACACAUGCAAGUCGAGGGGCAGCGGGGGUAGCGAUACCCGCCGGCGACCGGCGCACGGGUGAGUAACGCGUAUGCAACUUGCCUAUCAGAGGGGGAUAACCCGGCGAAAAGUCGGACUAAUACCGCAUGAAGCAGGGCCCCGCAUGGGGGUAUUUGCUAAAGAUUCAUCGCUGAUAGAUAGGCAUGCGUUCCAUUAGGCAGUUGGG